CCUACGGGUGGCUGCAGUGGGGAAUAUUGCACAAUGGGCGCAAGCCUGAUGCAGCCAUGCCGCGUGUGUGAAGAAGGCCUUCGGGUUGUAAAGCACUUUCAGCGGGGAGGAAGGCGUUAAGGUUAAUAACCUUGUCGAUUGACGUUACCCGCAGAAGAAGCACCGGCUAACUCCGUGCCAGCAGCCGCGGUAAUACGGAGGGUGCAAGCGUUAAUCGGAAUUACUGGGCGUAAAGCGCACGCAGGCGGUCUGUCAAGUCGGAUGUGAAAUCCCCGGGCUCAACCUGGGAACUGCAUUCGAAACUGGCAGGCUAGAGUCUUGUAGAGGGGGGUAGAAUCCCAGGUGUAGCGGUGAAAUGCGUAGAGAUCUGGAGGAAUACCGGUGGCGAAGGCGGCCCCCUGGACAAAGACUGACGCUCAGGUGCGAAAGCGUGGGGAGCAAACAGGAUUAGAUACCCUUGUAGUC
rnacentral:rRNA from 1 species